rnacentral:rRNA from 1 species
GACGAACGCUGGCGGCGUGCUUAACACAUGCAAGUCGAACGGUGAACCAGAGCUUGCUCUGGGGAUCAGUGGCGAACGGGUGAGUAACACGUGGGCAACCUGCCCCAGACUCUGGGAUAACCUCGGGAAACCGAUGCUAAUACCGGAUACGACCACUUCGGACAUCCGACGGUGGUGGAAAGUUUUCGGUCUGGGAUGGGCCCGCGGCCUAUCAGCUAGUUGGUGGGGUAAUGGCCUACCAAGGCGACGACGGGUAGCCGGCCUGAGAGGGCGACCGGCCACACUGGAACUGAGACACGGUCCAGACUCCUACGGGAGGCAGCAGUGGGGAAUAUUGCACAAUGGGCGAAAGCCUGAUGCAGCGACGCCGCGUGAGGGACGACGGCCUUCGGGUUGUAAACCUCUUUCAGCAGGGACGAAGCGAAAGUGACUGUACCUGCAGAAGAAGCACCGGCUAACUACGUGCCAGCAGCCGCGUAU